AUAAAACUCCCGCAGGCCGUAGGGCUACCAUAUGUACGCGUGCGUUUAUCCAAUGCACGAGUGUUACUCAGAAGAGGGAAACAAAUAAUAGCAAUCGCAGAGAAGAAUUGAAAUCUAGGGAUUCGAGGAGUUGUUUGAGAGAUGUCGUAUCUGCUUCCACACUUGCACUCAGGAUGGGCUGUGGAUCAGGCAAUCUUGGCGGAGGAAGAGCGCCUCGUCGUCAUCCGAUUCGGCCACGACUGGGACGAGACUUGCAUGCAGAUGGAUGAAGUGCUCGCAUCAGUUGCUGAGACAAUUAAGAACUUUGCUGUCAUAUAUCUUGUGGACAUCACUGAGGUGCCUGAUUUCAACACAAUGUAUGAGUUGUAUGAUCCAUCCACUGUCAUGUUCUUCUUCAGAAACAAGCACAUUAUGAUUGAUCUUGGAACUGGAAAUAACAACAAAAUUAAUUGGGCUCUCAAGGACAAGCAAGAGUUCAUUGACAUUAUUGAGACUGUCUACCGUGGGGCAAGGAAGGGUCGUGGUUUGGUUAUUGCUCCAAAAGAUUACUCCACCAAGUACCGCUACUAAGUGUAAGAAAAAUUAUUCAUUGGACUAUCCGACAAUGUAAGAACCUGUGAUGAAAACAAUGUUUAUGCAUAAAACUUGGCUUCAGAAAUUUGUAGAUUGGAAUUUCCUGGUUAACUAACUAGGAGUUUCUUAUGAUGGUAUGUUUACAUUUUUUGCCAUGUGUGCAGACAAUGUAUCUGACAUUUAUUUUGUGCUAGAACAGUGGAAUUUUUGCUUGUUCUUUAUAAGUUAAUUUUAGGUAAUCUUAUAGGAUAAAGGAUUGUUAUUGUUGCUUCAAAUAUUCUUUGAAGUAGCUUGGGUGUAGUGCAGAACACAUGCACUUCAGCUGUAAGAACAAGUCCUGGCACAUAAAAGGGCUGACAUUCUUGGCGAUGUAGAUGUUCCAUGUAAAAUUACAAAGAGCAUUAGAUAGUUGAUGUCUUGAUGAUUCGGUUGUAUAAAAGGUGGGAAUGCAUUAUGCAUUGUAAUGUUAGGCUUUUGAUCAGUGAGAGAUAUCUGCUCGAUUUUCCUCUCGCCCUAUGUUUCCUGACCUUGAUCACACUUCCCCCCAUUUACUG
rnacentral:misc_RNA from 1 species